UACAGAGGGUGCGAGCGUUGUCCGGAAUCACUGGGCGUAAAGGGCGCGUAGGCGGCCUGGUGCGCGUGCCGUGAAAGCCCGGGGCUCAACCCCGGGUCGGCGGUGCGAACGGCCGGGCUGGAGCAUGCGAGAGGCAGGCGGAAUUCCGGGUGUAGCGGUGGAAUGCGUAGAGAUCCGGAAGAACACCGGGGGCGAAGGCGGCCUGCUGGCGCAUAUAAGCUGACGCUGAGGCGCGACAGCGUGGGGAGCAAACAGG
rnacentral:rRNA from 1 species